CUGCAUGUGCAGGUACGUGCUGUGCCACCCUGCAUGCCCACCUGCCAGAGUGAUUUGUGUCUGGAGCACGGGGCACAGUGGGUGAGCAUCAAGUAGAACUAAUUGCCAGUAAUUGAAAGUUUUUUCCUUUUUUUCUCCUGUUUGUUUUCGUAAUUUCUCCUUUUUAUCCUCCUCCAGGUUUGGCUGUUGGAGGAUGCGUUUUGUGUGGUCCAGGGUAAGAAGAGAAAGCAAACAGGAGAGUCUGUAUUGUGUUUGUGUGUCCUCAACAAAUACUAGUGGUUUUGUAGGGGUAAAAAAAAGAGAAGAAGAGCUGCAAAGCUUUGCAGAUGAAGAGGGCCAUGAUGGGUAAUUGGGUUGUUCCAGUGAGGGCAACAACAGCAGGGGAGCAGCAGUUGGUGGGGAUGGUCUGGAGUGUGUCUGCAAAGCUGUGGAGCAGAGGAGAAAGUGUGUCUUGGAGUUGGGUGUCUCCUUGAGAGUGACCAGCACACCAGCAAGAGGAUUGUAACCCCAAUUUUUUCUCUCCAUUUUUUUAACAGGAGAUCUCCAAGCAUUUUCAAAGGAAGCUAGCACCACAGAUUGGAAAACUUUACAUUUUGAGGCUUCAGUGAUUGGUUUAGAGCCAGCCAGAGGAACCUGUGAGUGCUGAGCCCUCACGCUCUCCUCCAAACCAUCUCCAGACCUUGGCCUCUCUCCCAGGCCCCUGUGCCGACCAGACUGAUGUUGGGGAGCUCACUGGAGGCCAGUCUUGUCCCAUAGGGUGGAGGCAGGACAUGUUUCCACCUGUGGCCACUGCCAUCAGCUGGACUGGCUCUGGGAGGGAGGAUGCUGGCACAACAAGUGACCCUUCAAAAUGGGGUUGGAUUUAUAGGGGUGCACUCUAGUCCCAGUCUGUGAGGCCCCUGUUCCUGCCCUGACCUCUCUCUCAGCAUUUUGGGAGGAGUUCACUUACAAUUUCAAAACAUGUGGUGCUUUUUCUUCUUUUUGCCCAGCACCACUCAGUGUCGAGUUGAAGGGAAAUACAAUACAUCACCUUCCUUGUGGGCUGCCAUUCAGCCAAGAGUAACAGAGAUUAGCCUUCAAUCACAGGGGGGCCAGAGCUGAAGGAAACCUUCCCGAGGACACGCUGGAGAAACAUUUUCAUUAGUGGAGGAGAAGCUGACGGAGAUGGAGUGGCCCUUCACCUCAGCUGCCAGACCUCUCGCCUGCCUGGCGUUAACAGGACAGGGAGAUGCUAAUGGAGGAGCUGGUGCCAGCUGCAAGUCUUUAAGUGCUGUCUGCAUCCAGAUACCGUUCUCUCUAGGGGGCUGCCUGUGGUGCUGCAAUAACAUCACGUCUCUGUGGUGAAGAAACAAUGAGGAUAUAACAGAGGCCAAAAUGAAAUCCUCCCUGGAGUUGCCAAGAAUGAUGGAUAACUGCAAGAAAAUAUUAUUCUAUGGCUCUGAAAAAGGAAGAUCUACUUUCUUAGUAACCUGAUAAUGAGGUAGUGGCUCUGCUCGGUGCAGAGGCUGGAAGCCAGGGGAGAUUUGGGGUUACAAAGAGGGCUGGGCAGAGUUUGCUGCCCUCUCAGCUCCUUUCCUGUGUCACUGUCAACUUAGAUUUCACAUCAAGAGGGUGAUGUUAUGCCUGGCGGUGACAACAGCAGAAUGUCACUGGCAGAGGUGAAAUCUUUCCCUCCGUGAGGGUAAUUCUUCCUUUCCCUUCCCCUUGGCUUAUGUCAAGAACCUCUGGCUCCCGGUGCCGAGUGGGCCAUGCACACAUGCUGCUCAGGGGGCAACACAUUCUGUGCUGAGCUUCACUUUUCCUGCUGUCUUGGUAAGCAGCUCUGGGUCACCGAUGCCUCUUGGCUGCGUGGUGACCCAGGACAAAGGGAAACCCCUUGUCACUGUCUGAGAGAAAUUGGGGCCGUUGGAAGCUGCCGUGUUUGCCACCAUGGCAGCACUGCUCAGAGUGCUCCUCUGCCAUGCUGGCACACUUAUAUCAUCGUCAGCUUUGCCAGGGAUGUCCCUUCAGGGACCAUUUGUGUUCUUCAGGGGCCAGGUCUGAGCUAGGUCAGGGUCUGAGGGGCAGACUUACGUAUGUUAAAGGGUAAUGUCCCCCACAGGCUGUCUCUCACCUCCUCUGAACAGCAGCUGAUCUUGCAGCAGUGUGCCUGUGCCCACCUGCUCCAGCAGCCCCUCUGCCAGCUUCUGUCCCCCAGGGUCAGUUCAGCAAAGCUUAGUGUUGUUCUGGGUCCAGCUUCCAUUUUCUAGCUGGUUAUGGAGGAGAGGAUGAAGGUUGUUGCUGCUGCUGCUGCCAGGCCACACUAGAAAACAGGCAGGGGACCAGCCUCUUACUGCACUUAAAGAUCCAAGAGUUUAAUCUGACUCUGGUUCUCUCUUAGCCCUGAACCUGUUGUGUCUUUUCCAGCUGGUGCCCGAGCCUUUCUUUGUUAUUUUUAUUUUUUUUUCCCUUUUCUCCUCACCUUAUGAAAAAUGGCUUUCCCAUCUGCAUCUGUCAGGAGUGUGCCGAGCCGGGGGUACGGCUCAGUGAAUAUACAAAUGCGCGGUUGGACCGUGGCCUCCCUGACAGGCUGGAGAUGAAUUCCAAAUGUGCAGGGAGAAGAGCUCCUGCUGCCUCUGAUGGUUGUUUUUCUUAUCCCGAGGAGGUGUGAGAAUCGCCUUUGGGAGCAGCGUUUCCUUCUGCUCCUGUUCUGCCUUUACCAAGGAUCAGUUCUCUGCCAUCCAUCAUCGGACGAGCCCUCUCCUCGCUCCCACGUCUCAGCUGCUGAUGGGAGUGCUGGAGAAGGGGGAAACUGUUUUAUCCUGCUUUUUACUACCAUCCUUUUUCCUGUCCCUUUUGCAUCCCAACCUCCUAGGCCUCUAUUACAAGGCAAUUGGCAGGCUGGGGCUGGAGAACACUUGCCUUUUCUUGCUGAUCCAGGUAGAGGGGAGGGGAUGGUUUCAUAUAAUCAUUGCAUAUCCUGAGUUGGAAGGGACCCACGAGGAUCAUUAAGUCCAACUCUUAGACCUGCACAGGACACCCCAGCAAUUCCACCCUGUCCCUGAGAGUGUUGUCCAAACACUUUUUGAACUCUGUCAGGCUUGGAGCUGUGACCACUGCUCUGGGGGGCCUGUUCAGUGCACAACCACCCUCUGAGUGAGGAACCUUUUCCUAAUAUCCAGCCUAAACCUCCCCUGACAGAGCUUCAUGCUGUUCCCUUGAGACCUAUCACUGGUCACCGUUUGACCUUACCCAGGGGGCUUAAAAUGUAAUUUUGAUUGGAGUUUUCCAGAGGUGUUGUGUGUGACUCCAUGUGAGAUGCACUGAAAGCACCCAACUGCUCCUGGAUGUCUCAGCCUCGCUGUGUCCCCUUCCCCUGCUGCAGGUGACCAGAGCUCUGGGGCUCUGCAAGGAGGAAUUCACCAUCUCUGAGUUGUGGAACCCUGCAGGGUCGCUCAGGUACCCAAAGAGAGAUGACAGCCUGCCCUGACAGCCAUGAAUUUGCUGAGCUCUUCUCCUGCCUCUUGGCUUUCUGCAGUGAGGUACACGAGCUGCUUCCCUGGCCUUGAUGUGCAGAGAAGCUUUCAGCCAGGUGGGCUCAGAGGAGCAGGCAGGCAGAAAAUGAAAUGAGUGUCUCCAUGCUCUUGCCACAGCUAUCUGGUCAAGUAGGGGAACCUUCUGGGUGGGCAGACCCCCUCUUUGGCAGGAGGAGAGAGCAGGCAGCUUGAGCUGAGCUGUUUUUUUGACAAGCAGAUGGAUGUUCAGUGGGGACCCAAGAAAACCCUCUCGCUCCAGGCUAUCUGUGAGCCCUCCAAACCAGAGCGUUGUGCUGACACAAAGCAUCGCUCCGUUGGUGCUCAGCUUGAAUUGCCUCUUCCAGGCGCCUGAUUCGGGACACACCGACCGUCCCCUCCUGCCACCAGCUCCCGGGAGGAGCCAGCUGCCUGCCUGCAACCGGGCGAGGAUGGAGCCGGAGCCGUGGAGCAGCGAGGAGGGAGGGAGGCGAGCGACGGCAGAUUCCUCCGGCAUCUCCACACCGCGGGGCUCUUGGCGAGCGAGUGCUCGUCUGCUUUGAAAGCUCUUAGUGCUCCUGCAGGUGGGAGCCAAUUUGUCUGCUUUCCUGCCCAGGUGCCAUCUGUUUGUAGGAUUGCCUGUGCGGUGGAUGAGCACGACGGGGAUGGCGAAGGGAAAGGGCUGCUGGGCUGGGAAAGAUGAGCCUAAAACUUUCCUUGAGUAUCUUCAGCGCUUCUGGCUGCCGUUGUUCUCUCUCCCCAGCAUCGCAGCGGGGAAAUCGGAGCCUGUCAUUUGCUGUUCCCGGAGCGUGGAGGGGAGCUGAGGCACUGCUAAUAGCAAACUAUCAUUCUAAUGCUAAUUUCCUACCAUUAGCUCAGGCUGGGGGAGGCUCAGCCUGGGUGGAGGGAAGCCAUUAGCAGAUGGAGAAAGAGGGAGAUGUGUUCGGAUUUGUUCUGCACCCCCAGAAGGGAUUUUCAGAGGCCAGAUGAUUAACCACCACUGGGCAAAUUGGUAACACGAGCUAGGUUCAGUCUCUGGUGGACGUGGCAGGAAGGGAGAGGAUGCUUUGUUCCAAGUUGUCCUUCCUUUAGGGAUUUCCUGAGUGCUUCAGGCUUUGGCUUGAGUUUGGUGUUAGCUGCUUGUUGCCAGCCCUCGUGUGUUGUGACCCAAGGGAUGCUCAGAGCGCUGGCAGGGCUGCAGCUGGUGGCACCAAUGUCCUUUCAGCAAAGGAGCCAAGCAGGGUUGGGUUUAGCUGCUGUCUUUUUGGGAGGAGCUUCCCAGUUCAGGAGCCUGGACAUCCCUGUUUGGUGGCAGGCUUCAAAGCAGGGAAGUUUGGAAUCCACCUUUGAGAUACCCGAGAGCUAAAAAAAAAACCUGUCCUUUUGCCAUGGGAACAAACCCAGCUGCCCCAAGCUGGAGAUCUGUCAGGAGAAACCAGGGGCUGAGUUUGGAGUUGUGAAGGGAAAUGAACUAUUUCCCCGCCCUUUCCAGAGGUGAGCAUUCCUACAUCCAUCCUCUUCAUCAGUCUCCUCUAGACAAGAGGAAGAGCCUGUGCUGCUCCCUGGACUGGUGUAGGUGCCUGAGAGCUUCUGGGUUGUGUGAGGAAGGCGAUUGGCUACAGUAGGACUGUAGGGACUGUUUGGGCAACAGUCAGAGAGGUUUCUCUGCCAUUUCUAGACCAGCUUGGAAACCUUGGGACUAAAGGCAUGCAAGCUGUGCCUGGCUGGGAAGAAACUGGUUGCCUGCUACUGAGGGGCAGCGUUGUUUGAAGGCAAGGGCCCAGUAGUGUCCUGAUCUGUGGUGUGACACACCUCCUGAAGACCCAGCAGCCUGUCUGUGGUGAUCUAGACCACUGGCUUCAUCAUUUCAUAGGGAAGCAUACAAGGAUUUUUUUUUUAAACCCACUUAAAGACCAUUUUAAAACUCUUCUGUCAUCUAGCAGAGACUCAGUGGAAGGACAAAAGCAGCCACAAUAAACCAGGAACUGGUUAAAUAUUAAAGGGCAGGUAAGGCAAGAAGGGACUCUCCUGCCAGGAGGA